rnacentral:rRNA from 1 species
GUGCCAGCCGCCGCGGUAAUACAGAGGGUGCGAGCGUUGUUCGGAAUUACUGGGCGUAAAGCGCGCGUAGGUGGUGUGUUAAGUCUACUCGUGAAAUGCUGGGGCUCAACCCCAAGCGCUGCGGGGGAUACUGGCACGCUGGAGACACGUAGAGGCAAGCGGAAUUCCGGGUGUAGCGGUGGAAUGCGUAGAGAUCCGGAAGAACACCGGAGGCGAAGGCGGCUUGCUGGGCGUGAUCUGACGCUGAGGCGCGAAAGCGUGGGGAGCAAACAGGAUUAGAUACCCUGGUAGUCC